UCUGCCUAAGUGCUUCUUCAUGUACAGAGAUAGGGAGGAAGCCGGCGCCACUAAUCAAUCGCCGAAUGGAACGAAGCCAAAUCAGAGAUGUGUUUACAGUGCAGUAAUGAACCCUGCCUUCCCACGGCGUUGCGUCUUGCAGCUGGCUUCUCUGGAGGCAAGCACUGAUCAAAGAUUUUCCUGCUUCUGAAGCUGUGGAAACCAGGUUAGAUGUCCGCCUGUCACCUCAUGACCAUCUUGGUUUACGUAUGAUACAUCACCUUGAAAUGGAAACAAUACCAACAGUGCACACGUGUAUGCAGGAAAACCCCAGCUCUCUCCUUUCUUGCAGAACAGCCCCAAUAAUUUUGGAGACCAAAAAACCACUCUGUUUCAGAGGCGUCUUCCACACUGAGCCUAUUUUUACUCCCAUACUCUGAGGUGAGGAGAGACUGCUCUUUUUCCGAUUAAUCACAAAGCGUAUCAUCCUGGAGGCAUUGCAGAGACGGCGCAGCAAGGAUGUGCUAGUGACAGAUACAGUAUGAUGUGGUAUGUCAUCUAGGUAAGGGAAAAGACUUUCUCUUUGGUUUGAGAGCUGCUGUUAUUACAGACUUUUUUUUUUUUUAAAUAGUCUCAGAGGAGAAGCAGAAAAAAACAUUUAUAC